UACGAAGGGGGCGAGCGUUGUUCGGAUUUACUGGGCGUAAAGGGCGCGUAGGCGGCCCGUUUUGUCAGGCGUGAAAGCCCUGGGCUCAACCUGGGAACUGCGCUUGGGACGGAUGGGCUUGAGAUCGGGAGAGGAGAGUGGAAUUCCCAGUGUAGAGGUGAAAUUCGUAGAUAUCGGGAGGAACACCAGUGGCGAAGGCGGCUCUCUGGACCAGUACUGACGCUGAGACGCGAAAGCGUGGGUAGCAAACAGG
rnacentral:rRNA from 1 species